AGAGUUUGAUCCUGGCUCAGAGUGAACGCUGGCGGUAGGCCUAACACAUGCAAGUCGAACGGCAGCACAGUAAGAGCUUGCUCUUACGGGUGGCGAGUGGCGGACGGGUGAGGAAUACAUCGGAAUCUACUUUUUCGUGGGGGAUAACGUAGGGAAACUUACGCUAAUACCGCAUACGACCUACGGGUGAAAGCAGGGGAUCUUCGGACCUUGCGCGAUUGAAUAAGCCGAUGUCGGAUUAGCUAGUUGGCGGGGUAAAGGCCCACCAAGGCGACGAUCCGUAGCUGGUCUGAGAGGAUGAUCGGCCACACUGGAACUGAGACACGGUCCAGACUCCUACGGGAGGCAGCAGUGGGGAAUAUUGGACAAUGGGCGCAAGCCUGAUCCAGCCAUACCGCGUGGGUGAAGAAGGCCUUCGGGUUGUAAAGCCCUUUUGUUGGGAAAGAAAUCCAGCUGGUUAAUACCCGGUUGGGAUGACGGUACCCAAAGAAUAAGCACCGGCUAACUUCGUGCCAGCAGCCGCGGUAAUACGAAGGGUGCAAGCGUUACUCGGAAUUACUGGGCGUAAAGCGUGCGUAGGUGGUCGUUUAAGUCUGUUGUGAAAGCCCUGGGCUCAACCUGGGAACUGCAGUGGAAACUGGACGACUAGAGUGUGGUAGAGGGUAGCGGAAUUCCUGGUGUAGCAGUGAAAUGCGUAGAGAUCAGAGGAACAUCCAUGGCGAAAGCAGCUACCUGGACCAACACUGACACUGAGGCACGAAAGCGUGGGGGAGCAAC
rnacentral:rRNA from 1 species